UUUCCGUUGGUGAACCAGCGGAGGGAUCAUUACCGAGUUUACAACUCCCAAACCCAAUGUGAACCAUACCAAACUGUUGCCUCGGCGGGGUCACGCCCCGGGUGCGUCGCAGCCCCGGAACCAGGCGCCCGCCGGAGGGACCAACCAAACUCUUUCUGUAGUCCCCUCGCGGACGUUAUUUUUACAGCUCUGAGCAAAAAUUCAAAAUGAAUCAAAACUUUCAACAACGGAUCUCUUGGUUCAG
rnacentral:misc_RNA from 1 species